UACAGAGGGGGCAAGCGUUGUUCGGAAUUACUGGGCGUAAAGGGCUCGUACGCGGCCAACUAAGUCAGACGUGAAAUCCCCAGGCUUAACCUGGGAACUGCGUCUGAUACUGGAUGGCUUGAGUGCAGGAGAGGAACGCGGAAUUCCAGGUGUAGCGGUGAAAUGCGUAGAUAUCCGGAGGAACACCGGUGGCGAAGGCGGCGUUCUGGACUGUUACUGACACUGAUGAACGAAAGCCAGGGGAGCAAACGGG
rnacentral:rRNA from 1 species